UACAGAGGUCCCGAGCGUUGUUCGGAUUCACUGGGCGUAAAGGGCGCGUAGGUGGCUUGGUAAGUUUGAUGUGAAAUCUCCGGGCUUAACCCGGAAAAUGCAUUGAAUACUAUUUGAGCUUGAGGAUUGGAGGGGGGACUGGAAUUCUUGGUGUAGCAGUGAAAUGCGUAGAGAUGUGGAGGAACACCGAUGGCGAAGGCAGCCUCCUGGGCCAACACUGACGCUCAUGCACGAAAGCGUGGGGAGCAAACAGG
rnacentral:rRNA from 1 species